UGAGGAAUUUUCCGCAAUGGACGCAAGUCUGACGGAGCAACGCCGCGUGCAGGACGACGGUCUUCGGAUCGUAAACUGCUUUUCUCAGGGACGAGUAGGGACGGUACCUGAGGAAGAAGCCCCGGCUAACUACGUGCCAGCAGCCGCGGUAAUACGUAGGGGGCGAGCGUUGUCCGGAGUUACUGGGCGUAAAGCGCCCGCAGGCGGUCGCGUCAGUUUGGGGUGACAGCUCCCUGGCUUAACCGGGAGAGGACCUCGAAGACGGCGCGACUGGAGGGCCAGAGAGGGACAUGGAACUUCGGGUGGAGCGGUGAAAUGCGUAGAGAUCCGGAAGAACACCAAAGGCGAAGGCAGUGUCCUGGCUGGCACCUGACGCUCGGGGGCGAAAGCGAGGGGAGCGAACGG
rnacentral:rRNA from 1 species